UAAUAAGGGCGCACGGUGGAUGCCUUGGCACUAAGAGCCGAUGAAGGACGGGACUAACUCCGAUAUGCUUUGGGGAGCUGUAAGUAAGCUUUGAUCCAAAGAUUUCCGAAUGGGGGAACCCAGCAUUUUUUAUAGAAUGUUACUGCUAGCUGAAUACAUAGGCUAGUAGAGGUAGACGCAGAGAACUGAAACAUCUAAGUACCUGCAGGAAGAGAAAGAAAAUUCGAUUCCCUGAGUAGCGGCGAGCGAAACGGGAAGAGCCCAAACCAAAGAGCUUGCUCUUUGGGGUUGUAGGACACGACAUUAAGAGUCAUAAAUGAGUUUUGUAGAAGAAGCGAUCUGGAAAGGUCCGCCGAAGAGGGUAAAAGCCCCGUAAUCGAAACAAAGUUCACUCUGUUGUGUAUCCUGAGUACGGCGGAACACGAGAAAUUCCGUCGGAAUCCGCGGGGACCAUCCCGCAAGGCUAAAUACUCCUUAGUGACCGAUAGUGAACCAGUACCGUGAGGGAAAGGUGAAAAGAACCCCGGAAGGGGAGUGAAAGAGCUCCUGAAACCGUGUGCUUACAAAUAGUUAGAGCCCGUUAAUGGGUGAUAGCGUGCCUUUUGUAGAAUGAACCGGCGAGUUACGAUUACAUGCGAGGUUAAGUUGAUAAGACGGAGCCGUAGCGAAAGCGAGUCUGAAUAGGGCGAAUGAGUAUGUGGUCGUAGACCCGAAACCAAGUGACCUACCCAUGUCCAGGUUGAAGGUGCGGUAAUACGCACUGGAGGACCGAACCCACGUAUGUUGAAAAAUGCGGGGAUGAGGUGUGGGUAGCGGAGAAAUUCCAAUCGAACUUGGAGAUAGCUGGUUCUCUCCGAAAUAGCUUUAGGGCUAGCCUCGGAAUUAAGAAUCAUGGAGGUAGAGCCACUGUUUGGACUAGGGGCCCUUCUAGGGUUACCGAAUUCAGAUAAACUCCGAAUGCCAUUGAUUUAUAUCCGGGAGUCAGACUGCGAGUGAUAAGAUCCGUAGUCGAAAGGGAAACAGCCCAGACCACCAGCUAAGGUCCCAAAGUUACUAUUAAGUGGAAAAGGAUGUGGGGUUGCUUAGACAACUAGGAUGUUGGCUCAGAAGCAGCCAUCAUUUAAAGAGUGCGUAAUAGCUCACUAGUCGAGUGACCCUGCGCCGAAAAUUUACCGGGGCUAAAUAGUACACCGAAGCUGUGGAUAGAACCUUAGGGUUCUAUGGUAGGAGAGCGUUCUAAGGGCGUCGAAGCUAGACCGUGAGGACUAGUGGAGCGCUUAGAAGUGAGAAUGCCGGUAUGAGUAGCGAAAGACGGGUGAGAAUCCCGUCCACCGUAUGACUAAGGUUUCCUGGGGAAGGCUCGUCCUCCCAGGGUUAGUCGGGACCUAAGCCGAGGCCGAUAGGCGUAGGCGAUGGACAACAGGUUGAUAUUCCUGUACCAGUUUCUUUUGUUUGAACAAUGGAGGGACGCAGGAGGCUAAGAAAUGCGCACUGUUGGAUAUGUGCGUCUAAGCAAUGAGUCUUGAGGUGAGUUAAAUGCUUGCUUCUGUACGGACAAGUUGUGAUGGGGAGGGAAAUUACAGUACCGAAGUUUCUGAUGUCACACUGCCAAGAAAAGCUUCUAGUUAGAAAGAAAUUGCCCGUACCGCAAACCGACACAGGUAGUCGAGGAGAGUAUCCUAAGGUGUGCGAGAGAACUCUCGUUAAGGAACUCGGCAAAAUGACCCCGUAACUUCGGGAGAAGGGGUGCUGAUCGAAAGAUCAGCCGCAGUGAAUAGGCCCAAGCGACUGUUUAUCAAAAACACAGGUCUCUGCAAAAUCGAAAGAUGACGUAUAGGGGCUGACGCCUGCCCGGUGCUGGAAGGUUAAGAGGAUUGGUUAGCUUCGGCGAAGCUAAGAAUUGAAGCCCCAGUAAACGGCGGCCGUAACUAUAACGGUCCUAAGGUAGCGAAAUUCCUUGUCGGGUAAGUUCCGACCCGCACGAAAGGCGUAA
rnacentral:rRNA from 1 species